UACGUAGGGGGCUAGCGUUGUCCGGAUUUAUUGGGCGUAAAGAGCGUGUAGGCGGCCAGGUAGGUCUGCUGUGAAAACUCGAGGCUCAACCUCGAGACGUCGGCGGAAACCAUCUGGCUAGAGUCCGGAAGAGGAGAGUGGAAUUCCGUGGUGUAGCGGUGAAAUGCGCAGAUAUCAGGAAGAACACCCGUGGCGAAGGCGGCUCACUGGCCCGGUACUGACGCUGAGGUGCGAAAGCGUGGGGAGCAAACAGG
rnacentral:rRNA from 1 species